rnacentral:rRNA from 1 species
GAUGAACGCUGGCGGCGUGCCUAAUACAUGCAAGUCGAGCGAACAGAUGAGGAGCUUGCUCCUCUGACGUUAGCGGCGGACGGGUGAGUAACACGUGGAUAACCUACCUAUAAGACUGGGAUAACUUCGGGAAACCGGAGCUAAUACCGGAUAAUAUAUUGAACCUCAUGGUUCAAUAGUGAAAGACGGUUUUGCUGUCACUUAUAGAUGGAUCCGCGCCGCAUUAGCUAGUUGGUAAGGUAACGGCUUACCAAGGCAACGAUGCGUAGCCGACCUGAGAGGGUGAUCAGCCACACUGGAACUGAGACACGGUCCAGACUCCUACGGGAGGCAGCAGUAGGGAAUCUUCCGCAAUGGGCGAAAGCCUGACGGAGCAACGCCGCGUGAGUGAUGAAGGUCUUCGGAUCGUAAAACUCUGUUAUUAGGGAAGAACAAAUGUGUAAGUAACUAUGCACGUCUUGACGGUACCUAAUCAGAAAGCCACGGCUAACUACGUG